rnacentral:rRNA from 1 species
CCCUUCGGGGAGCAAGUAGAGUGGCGCACGGGUGAGUAACACGUAGGUAAUUUGCCUUUGGGUGGGGAAUACCAACCGGAAACGGUUGCUAAUACCGCAUAAUGCCGAAAGGUCAAAGCUUUAGUGCUUGGAGAGGAGCCUGCGGCAGAUUAGCUAGUUGGUAAGGUAAUGGCUUACCAAGGCGACGAUCUGUAUCCGGUCUAAGAGGACGGUCGGACACACUGACACUGAAUAACGGGUCAG